rnacentral:rRNA from 1 species
GACGAACGCUGGCGGCGUGCUUAACACAUGCAAGUCGAACGGAAAGGCCCUGAUUUUGUGGGGUGCUCGAGUGGCGAACGGGUGAGUAACACGUGAGUAACCUGCCCUUGACUUUGGGAUAACUUCUGGAAACUGGGGAUAAUACCGGGUAGAAGAUCCUGCUGCAUGGUGGGGGUUGGAAAGUUUCGGCGGUUGGGGAUGGACUCGCGGCUUAUCAGCUUGUUGGUGGGGUAGUGGCUUACCAAGGCUUUGACGGGUAGCCGGCCUGAGAGGGUGACCGGCCACAUUGGGACUGAGAGACGGCGCAGACUCCUACGGGAGGCAGCAGUGGGGAAUAUUGCAGAAUGGGCGGAAGCCUGAGGCAGCAACGCCGCGUGCGGGAUGACGGGCUUCGGGUUGUAAACCGCUUUCGCCUGUGACGAAGCGUGAGUGACGGUAAUGGGUAAAGAAGCACCGGCUAACUACGUG